UUAAACCUACAUAUUCACGACUUGGAUAAAGUAUAUAAAUAUCGUGAUAUGAAAAUGAAACAACUUAUAGUGCUUAUAGAUACAUAAGUUUUAAGAUAAAACCUUGCUAAAAUGGAGAGUGUAGCACUUUAUUGUCUGUUGUUUUGUUUUGGUAAGUUUUUUUUAAUAUAAAUUCAUAUUUAUUGGUAGACCUCGUGAUUUAAUUCUAUAAAUACAAGUAAAAACAUAUUCUGUUUUUAAUAGACAUUGAUAUAAUAUGAGUAAAAUAAAUAUAUUUUAUAAUGCCAUCAAUUUAAAAAGUUAAAAAAUUGAAAUAUGAAAUAUGAAAGGGAGUAAAACAUUUAUAUGUAUUGUCAGUUCGUUCUAAUCAAUGGUUUAACUAGGUUUCACCAAUGCAAUUAAUUAAAACGAUUAAUAUUCACCUUUAUCUUUGAGUCGUUUAAUAUACCCGAAAUAUCAAAUCCAGUUGAAAACAUGACGAUUAUUUGUAUUGUUUAAAAAUGUUUUUUUUUUCUAUAGUUGCUCUUGGUAACAUAACAGUCAGCGAUGGCUCAGAUCAUCAGAUGGCACAAUCUGCCUGCAUGGGCGUGGCCCAGGAUGCUGUAUACGCAUCAGCAAUACCACGUCCUUGUUUUGGUGGAAAGACUUGUGAAAGUAUUUGUGCAGAUGCCACAUCAACUAUGAAUCAAUAUUCCACUGCUGGAGGCCCCUUAAG
rnacentral:lncRNA from 1 species